rnacentral:rRNA from 1 species
CAGUCGAGGGGUAGAGGAAGCUUGCUUCCUUGAGACCGGCGCACGGGUGCGUAACGCGUAUGCAAUCUACCUUGUACAGGGGGAUAGCCCAGAGAAAUUUGGAUUAAUACCCCAUAGUAUUAUUGAGUGGCAUCACUUAAUUAUUAAAGUUCCAACGGUACAAGAUGAGCAUGCGUCCUAUUAGCUAGUUGGUAUGGUAACGGCAUACCAAGGCUACGAUAGGUAGGGGUCCUGAGAGGGAGAUCCCCCACACUGGUACUGAGACACGGACCAGACUCCUACGGGAGGCAGCAGUGAGGAAUAUUGGACAAUGGGCGCAAGCCUGAUCCAGCCAUGCCGCGUGCAGGAAGACGGUCCUAUGGAUUGUAAACUGCUUUUAUACGGGAAGAAACACUGCUACGUGUAGCAGCUUGACGGUACCGUAAGAAUAAGGAUCGGCUAACUCCGUGCCAGCAGCCGCGGUAAUACGGAGGAUCCAAGCGUUAUCCGGAAUCAUUGGGUUUAAAGGGUCCGUAGGCGGUCUAAUAAGUCAGUGGUGAAAGCCCAUCGCUUAACGAUGGAACGGCCAUUGAUACUGUUAGACUUGAAUUACUGGGAAGUAACUAGAAUAUGUAGUGUAGCGGUGAAAUGCUUAGAUAUUACAUGGAAUACCAAUUGCGAAGGCAGGUUACUACCAGUGGAUUGACGCUGAUGGACCAAAGCGUGGGGAGCGAACAGGAUUAGAU